rnacentral:rRNA from 1 species
GCAGUCGAGCGAGACCUCCGGGUCUAGCGGCGGACGGGUUAGUAACGCGUGGGAACGUACCCUUUUCUGCAGGAUAGCCACUGGAAACGGUGAGUAAUACUGCAUACGCCCUUCGGGGGAAAGAUUUAUCGGAGAAGGAUCGGCCCGCGUUAGAUUAGAUAGUUGGUGGGGUAAUGGCCUACCAAGUCUACGAUCUAUAGCUGGUUUGAGAGGAUGAUCAGCCACACUGGGACUGAGACACGGCCCAGACUCCUACGGGAGGCAGCAGUGGGGAAUUUUCCGCAAUGGGCGAAAGCCUGACGGAGCAACGCCGCGUGAGGGAUGAAGGCCUCUGGGCUGUAAACCUCUUUUCUCAAGGAAGAAGACAUGACGGUACUUGAGGAAUAAGCCACGGCUAAUUCCGUGCCAGCAGCCGCGGUAAU